rnacentral:rRNA from 1 species
GACGAACGCUGGCGGCGUGCUUAACACAUGCAAGUCGAACGAUGAAGCCUUCGGGUGGAUUAGUGGCGAACGGGUGAGUAACACGUGGGCAAUCUGCCCUUCACUCCGGGACAAGCCUUGGAAACGAGGUCUAAUACCGGAUAUCACUCCCGGGUGCAUGCCUGGGGGUUGAAAGCUCCGGCGGUGAAGGAUGAGCCCGCGGCCUAUCAGCUUGUUGGUGGGGUAAUGGCCUACCAAGGCGACGACGGGUAGCCGGCCUGAGAGGGCGACCGGCCACACUGGGACUGAGACACGGCCCAGACUCCUACGGGAGGCAGCAGUGGGGAAUAUUGCACAAUGGGCGAAAGCCUGAUGCAGCGACGCCGCGUGAGGGAUGACGGCCUUCGGGUUGUAAACCUCUUUCAGCAGGGAAGAAGCGCAAGUGACGGUACCUGCAGAAGAAGCACCGGCUAACUACGUGCCAGCCGCCGCAGUAAAAC